CUUCUACUCCUUCCGUCCUAAAUUACUUGUCUUGGAUUUGUCUAGAUACGGAUCUAUCUAGACUUAUUUUAGUGCUAGAUAUAUCCGUAUCUAGACAAAUCUAAGACAAGUAAUUUAGAACGGAGGGAGUAGUAU
rnacentral:pre_miRNA from 1 species